GACAGGGGCUCAGUGCUCAGCUCUUGCCCAGGCCUCUCUGCUCUGUGCCUGGCUGGGACAAACUCGACAGCCUUUCGGGCAAUCAGGCAAUAAUAGACCUUGUGGAAGCUGAAAGUCCCCCAGAAAAAAUUUACAAGGCCUAAGAGAGCCUGCCUGGCAUAAUUUAACACUUUAGUAAUGAGCACCUGGACAGGAAAGAUUGCUUGGGUAGUUUUAUUCUGCAUAGAUGAGCAGCCAGAAUUUCAAAGAGGGGCCAUAAAGACGAGCGAGCGGAAUGGUCGAUGGUGCCUGGUUUUGGUGUGGAAGGUUGUGAGGACAUGAAUAAAGGGGAAGGUGUUUUCAUUCAGCUCCCCAACUCCAAAAGGCAUCCUUUAGCCAGGACUGGCUUUAGGGAGAGCAGCAAUCCUUUGGCAGCCUGCCUGUGACUGUGCCUCAGUGCAUGUGGCCCGGUAUUCAUGGAUUUGCAGCUGCUCCCCGAGGCUGCAGUACAGUGCUGAUGUCUGUUGGUGUCACACAUGUGUUUGUACCUGUGGGGCUGAGAACAGCAGCGUGCACCCCUCGGCCUCUGUGCUGUUUGACUGGGCACGUGCACUGCUGAUAAAAGCCACCAAUAAUGCUAAUUCCUUGUGGGUGCAUUUGCACUCUUAGUGAACUCUGCAAUAACACACUGAAAUUUUUGUAUACAAGUCUGUGCAAGUAAUGCAGGUACACUUGGAUACAGUUUGUGUUUAUGUGCUGCUUAUACAGGCAUUUCUAACUUGUAUCUGAGUAAAACAUGCUCAGUGUUGCUGGUUUAAACUAGUAGUGAGCUAUGUCUUCCUGCUGGCAACACAUGCUGCCUGGUUGCACACUUCUGAGAGGUCUGAGGGAGUCAUAGCAGUCAGAAGCUGAUGCUCUCUGACCACAGAGGGGCAUGGAAAGAAUUGUUAACCCAGAAUGAAAAGAGAGUGAAAUCACAGAAGUUGCCAUGGAGCAGGACUGUCAACCCCCAGUCAGCCCUUCCCAUCCAGAGACCUCCAUCACUGGCAGGAGUGCUCAGAGCCGGUAGAAUGCAUUUUUACUUCAGGAGCCUCAUUAAAUUAGCAUUCCUUGGAGCCCCACAAGGAAGAUGAUGGUCUGGCUUUGUCUGCCUGGCUUCCUGUUCACUUUGGGUGAUGCAUCAGAGGGAGCUGCUGUGCCUUUGACACAGCUGCCUGCCUACAGACACACUCAGGUGAUGAUGGGCCUGUUUUAUUGUGCUUUCUCUUUCUUAUUGACUUGACAAAUCUAUCUGAAAACUGGAGUGAGGGAUAUUUUUCCUCAGCAACAGCCAUCAACA